CUGGUCGAGGGUCCGUGCAUGGAUAAUAAUCGGGUAUAAGACAGGCACCGAAGGCGCGGGAUAGCAAAUAAUAAAAGUAUCGGUAGGGGAGCAUUCCAUCGGCGUAGAACGCAGUAGGUGACUACUGCUGGAGCCUAUGGAAAAGCAAAUGUAGGUAUAAGUAACGAUUAGGAGGGCGAGAACCCCUCCCGCCGAACGACUAAGGUUUCCCAGGCAAUGCCAUUCAUCCUGGGGUCAGUCGGGUCCUAAGGCUAAGCCGAGCGGCGAGGCCGAUGGCAGACACGGUCAACAUUCCGUGACUACCGCCAUCAGUGAUGUCCUGACGGAGCAGUGACACCUCCGCGCCCUGACGGAAUAGGGCGUUGAAGGGCGUAGGCUAUGAUGAUGCCAGGCAAAUCCGGCAUCAGAGCUGAAACCUGAAAGUACGGGGUCCCCUUCGGGGGAACCUGAGAGCGAGGGUAACCAUACUCCCGAGAAAAUGGGCUAAACUCAUGUUGGCGGUACCCGUACCGCAAACCGACACAGGUAGUUGGGUAGAACAUACUAAGGCGUUGAGAGAUUCAUGGCUAAGGAACUAGGCAAACUGACCCCGUAACUUCGGGAUAAGGGGUCCUCACCUCCGGGUGAGGCGCAGAGAAUAGGUCCAGGCAACUGUUUAACAAAAACACAGGGCUGUGCGAACUCGAAAGAUGAAGUAUACAGCCUGACACCUGCCCGGUGCCGGAAGGUUAAGAGGAGAUGUCACCGCAAGGGAAGCAUUGAAUUGAAGCCCCGGUAAACGGCGGCCGUAACUAUAACGGUCCUAAGGUAGCGAAAUUCCUUGUCGGGUAAGUUCCGACCUGCACGAAUGGUGUAAUGAUCCGGACGCUGUCUCGGCCAUGAGCUCAGUGAAAUUGUAGUAUCGGUGAAGAUGCCGAUUACCCGCGAUGGGACGAAAAGACCCCGUGAACCUUUACUACAGCUUAGCAUUGACCUUGGUCAUCCGAUGUGUAGGAUAGGCCGGAGGCUUCGAAGCGGCGUCGCCAGGCGUUGUGGAGCCAUCCUUGAAAUACGGCCCUUUGGCUGUCUGAGGUCUAACGCGGAUAGUCGCGGACACUGCUUGGUGGGUAGUUUGACUGGGGUGGUCGCCUCCAAAAGCGUAACGGAGGCUUCCAAAGGUGCCCUCGGGCCGUUUGGUAAGCGGCCUUCAAGAGUGCAAUGGCAAAAGGGCGCUUGACUGGGAGGGAGACAUCCCGAGCAGGCAGGAAACUGGGGCAUAGUGAUCCGGCGGAUGUGUAUGGAAACUCCGUCGCUCAAAGGAUAAAAGGUACUCCGGGGAUAACAGGCUGAUCCCCCCCAAGAGCUCAUAUCGACGGGGUGGUUUGGCACCUCGACGUCGGCUCGUCACAUCCUGGGGCUGGAGAAGGUCCCAAGGGUUGGGCUGUUCGCCCAUUAAAGUGGCACGCGAGCUGGGUUCAGAACGUCGUGAGACAGUUCGGUCUCUAUCUAUCGUGGGCGCAGGAGUUUUGAGUGGUGCUGUCACUAGUACGAGAGGACCGUGACGGACAGACCUCCGGUGUACCGGUUGUGCCGCCAGGCGCACCGCCGGGUAUCCGCGUCUGGAUCGGAUAAGCGCUGAAAGCAUCUAAGUGCGAAGCUUUCCACGAGAUUAGAACUCCAUUGAGGGUCGUCGCAGACGACGACGUUGAUAGGGCGCAGGUGUAAAGACGGCGACGUCAAAGCCGAGCGCUACUAAUUGCCC
rnacentral:rRNA from 1 species